rnacentral:rRNA from 1 species
GACGAACGCUGGCGGCGUGCCUAAUACAUGCAAGUUGAGCGAUGAAGAUUGGUGCUUGCACCAAUUUGAAGAGCAGCGAACGGGUGAGUAACGCGUGGGGAAUCUGCCUUUGAGCGGGGGACAACAUUUGGAAACGAAUGCUAAUACCGCAUAACAACUUUAAACAUAAGUUUUAAGUUUGAAAGAUGCAAUUGCAUCACUCAAAGAUGAUCCCGCGUUGUAUUAGCUAGUUGGUGAGGUAAAGGCUCACCAAGGCGAUGAUACAUAGCCGACCUGAGAGGGUGAUCGGCCACAUUGGGACUGAGACACGGCCCAAACUCCUACGGGAGGCAGCAGUAGGGAAUCUUCGGCAAUGGACGAAAGUCUGGCCGAGCAACGCCGCGUGAGUGAAGAAGGUUGUCGGAUCGUAAAACUCUGUUGGUAGAGAAGAACGUUGGUGAGAGUGGAAAGCUCAUCAAGUGACGGUAACUACCCAGAAAGGGACGGCUAACUACGUG